rnacentral:rRNA from 1 species
CUCAGGAUGAACGCUAGCGACAGGCCUAACACAUGCAAGUCGAGGGGCAUCGGGGCGAGGAGCAAUCCUUGCCGCCGGCGACCGGCGCACGGGUGAGUAACGCGUAUGCGACCUGCCCGUUGCAGGGGGAUAAUCGGGAGAAAUCCCGUCUAAUACCGCGUAAUGCCGCGGGGCUGCAUGGCCCUGCGGCCAAAGGGAGCGAUUCCGGCAACGGAUGGGCAUGCGUGACAUUAGCUAGUUGGCGGGGCAACGGCCCACCAAGGCGACGAUGUCUAGGGGUUCUGAGAGGAAGGUCCCCCACACUGGUACUGAGACACGGACCAGACUCCUACGGGAGGCAGCAGUGAGGAAUAUUGGUCAAUGGGCGCGAGCCUGAACCAGCCAAGUCGCGUGAGGGAUGACGGCCCUACGGGUUGUAAACCUCUUUUGUCGGGGAGCAAAUUCCGCCACGUGUGGCGGAGUCGAGAGUACCCGAAGAAAAAGCAUCGGCUAACUCCGUGCCAGCAGCCGCGGUAAUACGGAGGAUGCGAGCGUUAUCCGGAUUUAUUGGGUUUAAAGGGUGCGUAGGCGGACUGUCAAGUCAGCGGUAAAAUACGGGGGCUCAACCUCCGCCCGCCGUUGAAACUGACGGUCUUGAGUGGGCGAGAAGUAUGCGGAAUGCGUGGUGUAGCGGUGAAAUGCAUAGAUAUCACGCAGAACUCCGAUUGCGAAGGCAGCAUACCGGCGCCCGACUGACGCUGAAGCACGAAAGCGUGGGUAUCGAACAGGAUUAGAUACCCUGGUAGUCCACGCAGUAAACGAUGAAUACUAGCUGUCCGGGGCGAAUGAGCCCUGGGUGGCACAGCGAAAGCGUUAAGUAUUCCACCUGGGGAGUACGCCGGCAACGGUGAAACUCAAAGGAAUUGACGGGGGCCCGCACAAGCGGAGGAACAUGUGGUUUAAUUCGAUGAUACGCGAGGAACCUUACCCGGGCUCAAACGACACAGGAACGUACCUGAAGGGUUCGGCUCUACGGAGCCUGUGUCGAGGUGCUGCAUGGUUGUCGUCAGCUCGUGCCGUGAGGUGUCGGCUUAAGUGCCAUAACGAGCGCAACCCCCAUCGACAGUUGCUAACAGGUCAGGCUGAGGACUCUGUCAAGACUGCCGGCGCAAGCUGCGAGGAAGGCGGGGAUGACGUCAAAUCAGCACGGCCCUUACGUCCGGGGCGACACACGUGUUACAAUGGCAGGUACAGCGGGAAGCCACCUGGCGACAGGGAGCGGAACCCGAAAGCCUGUCUCAGUUCGGAUUGGAGUCUGCAACCCGACUCCAUGAAGCUGGAUUCGCUAGUAAUCGCGCAUCAGCCACGGCGCGGUGAAUACGUUCCCGGGCCUUGUACACACCGCCCGUCAAGCCAUGGAAGCCGGGGGUGCCUGAAGU